UACGAAGGGGGGCUAGCGUUGCUCGGAAUCACUGGGCGUAAAGGGUGCGUAGGCGGCUUUCUAAGUCGGGGGUGAAAUCCUGGAGCUCAACUCCAGAACUGCCUUCGAUACUGGAGAGCUCGAGUCCGGGAGAGGUGAGUGGAACUGCGAGUGUAGAGGUGAAAUUCGUAGAUAUUCGCAAGAACACCAGUGGCGAAGGCGGCUCACUGGCCCGGUACUGACGCUGAGGUGCGAAAGCGUGGGGAGCAAACAGG
rnacentral:rRNA from 1 species